GAUGAACGCUGGCGGCGUGCCUAAUACAUGCCAGUCGAGCGAACAGAUGAGGAGCUUGCUCCUCUGACGUUAGCGGCGGACGGGUGAGUAACACGUGGAUAACCUACCUAUAAGACUGGGAUAACUUCGGGAAACCGGAGCUAAUACCGGAUAAUAUAUUGAACCGCAUGGUUCAAUAGUGAAAGACGGUUUUGCUGUCACUUAUAGAUGGAUCCGCGCCGCAUUAGCUAGUUGGUAAGGUAACGGCUUACCAAGGCGACGAUGCGUAGCCGACCUGAGAGGGGGAUCGGCCACACGGGAAGGGAGACACGGUCAAGACUCCUACGGGAGGCAGCAGUAGGGAAUCUUCCGCAAUGGGCGAAAGCCUGACGGAGCAGCGCCGCGUGAGUGAUGAAGGUCUUCGGAUCGUAAAACUCUGUUAUUAGGGAAGAACAAAUGUGUAAGUAACUAUGCACGUCUUGACGGUACCUAAUCAGAAAGCCACGGCUAACUACGUG
rnacentral:rRNA from 1 species